rnacentral:tRNA from 1 species
GGAAGGAUGGCAGAGCGGUUGAAUGCGCAUCGUUGGAAACGAUGUAUAUCGGAAACGGUAUCGCAGGUUCGAAUCCUGUUCCUUCCG